CGACGGCCGGGCCGUGUGGGCGCCGCCUCCCCGGUGCGGCGGGAGCGAGCAGCGGCGGGACGCGCCAGGUCCACGCGGAUGUCACCAGGUGAGCAAGCGAGGCAGUGCUGGACUCUGAGCUGCACGGGAGCUCCGUUACCAGUGGACAACCAAGGUCUGAAGCCUACAGAUGGUUAUUCUGAUGACUCUUUGGAAGGCCAGUAGUAUCCCUAGUUUUACAUCACAGUUACUCACGCACCUAACCUCCCAUGAGCUCAUCACAUAGGUACUUUAGCAUUUCAUAUACUCACAAGAAGAAAGACCACAUGGAAGUUGUUUCCUGAGUAAAGCCAUGAAGAGUCCCUCAUUUGAAAACUUUAAACUUCAACCAAGAGCUGGCUGAGGUGAAACUCCAGACCUCUGAGGAGAGUUCGAAGGAAUCAGCAAUCUUGUUGACUUAAUGCAGCACAAUCAAUGAGAUGCAAUCUCACCAAUGGGCUGGACAAGGUCAGGGAUGAUAAAAGUGUGACAAAGAAAGGAUGUGGGAGACCAUAGGAAAGAAGCAGGUCAUUUCAAGGGAACAAAGGCAAAUUAAAAAAUCUGUCCAAUUUAUUGUUCCUUAAAUGACUUGGCUUUAAAAUCUGCCUGUGCACCAUAUAUAAACUAAUGUGCAUAAGGACGGAUGAAGCCACAGGAAUAGCAAAGUAUGUGUGCAGGGACCCUGUCCUCAUGAUUAUGAAGAUAAAAGUGUGAGAAUAGGAAUGGAGGGAGAGCUGGGGUAGAGGUGAAGGGUGCAGAGAGACAGAGAGAUUAUCUGUAUGUACUUGAAGACCUAUUAUAUGGAAGAAUAAAUAAAUAACCCCUGCUUUGUAGAACUAGGGACAUUCCAAUUAAUAGUAUGUUUAAAAAAUGCAAAAAAAAAAAAACCUAAUUUGACCUGUCUAAAAAUAGAGUGAAUUAUUAUAUCUUAGGAGAAAAGUCGUUGUUGUUUAAUUUACUAAAAGCAUUAAUGUGGGGUCUGUGUACACAACAGGAACAUUAAAAAUGAAGUUAUUUCACUAAGGAGAAGUUUUGAAAGGCCUUAGAAGUUUUUUCCCAACUGUAGGAUGUUGUACUCUUGUGGUUAUAUCUCCCUCAAGAUUAUUUAGUUUUUGAACAAUAAUCCUAUCAUAUGCAGCACAGCUGGGAAUUUUUAAUAGUUCUAUUUCAGGUCAUUUUCAAAUGUUUUUCUUAUUAGGAGUGUGUCUAGACCCCCAUGAAACACAGCAGCAUUCUUAAUAUGGUCCUAAGGCAUAUCCAGGAUGGUGUUAAAUUGAGAAUAAAACAUAUGCAAAUGAAUUGUGUUAAUUUGACCAACAUCUUGAAUAGUGUGAUGACCAUGCAUAUAUAUUUCUCUAAUUCAUUAAAGUUGGUAUAAUCAUUUUUUCUAGGACAAUAUUAAUUUUACUAGGCUUGAAAAGUUGUUGAAUUCACUUUGGAAGCCAAACAUAGCUGCAGAAAAUAUGAAAACAUUAAGGCUAAUAAAAUCUGGUAUAACUUA